CUCAGGGAUCAGAUCCAACCUCUCCACCUGGGCACCCCGAGCCUUUGCUUCUUCCUUCCUUUUAAACACUGGCUUUGAAAUCUCACGAAUCGGAGCCCAGGCUCCAAGCAUAUCUUGAUGUUUUUAGUUCCUCACAAGCCUUGCCAAGGUUUUUAUUUUUAAAUGCGGGGCUUAAAAUACAUCGUCCUCAGCUCAGAGCCAGCCAGAGGCAGCCAAAGUAAAGCACCGUCUUCUUCAGAACAUAUGGCCAGUCACUGCCGCGGAUCGAGGGGGUGCUAAGGAGAGAAAGGAGGCUGGUAUGAAAUAAAAAUGCAGGUUUAGUGCAUGGAAAUUGGCAAGGCCUCAUGCCACCAAAAGCUGUUUUCAAAGAGAGAAUUUUUAAACUAUAGAGUUUGUGGAAAAGAGAAAAAUAGGAGAGGGGUGGGAAAGACAUUCCCAAAACUGACCUAGGCACUAGGGACCUGGAUGUCCUGAGCAUGGACACAGGACACAGGAAGGGAGGGAGCGGUGUCACCAACAAAUUUAGGACAUGAUUCAGGACGUAGCUGAACAUGCACACACUGCUCUUAGUGAGGCUCAUCUCCAGGGUGGGCCCUCACUCCACCUGAGUGGUACUUAGUUCCUUUUCUUUCUCUGGCUCUCAGUUCCCACCACCUCCCUUUGUCAUUGUGCCACUGGGUCCUUUAAAGCACCCUGAUUGUGCCGCCAGCUACACAAUUGCAAACUCGGGUCGUCUACACGCAGGGGACAGCUUAAACAGCUUAUGGCGCUUGAACCAUUUUGAAGGUUUAUUUUUCAGCAUCUUUUGAUGUUCUCUGUAUAUAUUUUUUUUGUUUCAAUCUUUUGAUUAUUUAGUCUAAAACCCAUAAUGCUCCCCCCACGCUUUUAGCAUGCUGGAUGUUUCCAGGUCUCUCUUCUGCUUCCAGUGAAGCUGCAGUUUUUAUUAUUGUUAUUAAGGAUUUGACCACGUCGAGUAGGGAAUUUUAAGUAGUGUUGCUGGGUAGUUGACGUUUUAGAUACCUGAAUUUAUUAUUGGAGCUAGAGUGUCAUUAGAAAAAAACGUGCACAACAAAAGGGGACUGUUGGUGGUGUAAUUGUAGAGGCAUUAGGUUAAUAUAUAAUGUAGAAGUCUGUGUAAUGGAUAGUUUUUAUUCAUCAUAAAAUUUUCAAAUGACUCGCAGAUGUGCAGCCCUUGCAGCUGUUUCUCCCUCGCUAAUGGCCUGAGGCUCUGACUCAGAGAGAUAGUUUGUGCCAAUGGAUUCUGGCAAGGACGAUGGUUCUUGUGAUCCUUCCCCGGAGGAAAUCAUUCAUUGUCAGCAGGGGUGAUGAUGACAAGCCCAUAAAAGGCUGAGUGGGGAGGGGCUGGUGUAGGAAGACGGCUGGACCUUGGCAUGUACAGAAGGCUGUUUGAAGCUGAUUUCAAAAAGAAAUAUAUUGACCCCAAAAUUCUUACCAUUGAUUUACUGACUUCAAAAUUCUUACCGUUGAUUUACCCAAAUCUGUUUCUAUUUACAAAGUCUGCUUCCCCCACCCCCCACCUCCCCUUCUCACCACCCCACCCCCUUCCCGCCCAAAGCAGGGCUGCCACGAACAUCAGCUUGAAGCUAGAACUACAGUUUGGAGAGGGAACUCCCUGCCCCUCACCUGCUGGUGCAGAAAGUGUCUGAGUUCCAUUGCAUAGACCCCAUGAUGUUCCCCAUCACACCGGCCUCCAGGGAGGAAUGGCUCAAACUUGACCCCGUAGGAAUCACCCCAGGGUGCUAGCAAAAAUGCCAAUCCCUGGCUUGGGCUGUCAGGACCAAACAUGCAAGUAAGGAGACUGGUUUUAUUCUGGCUGCUACAGGAAGGAGAGGCCACAUCCAAAGAUCAGAGUCCUGCCAGGGUGGUCUCGCCUUGAACUUUUACGGAAAGGCCGGACUAGUCCCAGGCAGGGUGACUUAGAGCAUCAGUGUCAGCAAUGGAGGGCCCUCUCAGGCAGCUGACAGGGAAAUGCGCAUCGCUGUGUCCAGCUGGUUUCACAGAACAACGCUAAUCUCAACUGAGCAUUCAUGAGACAAAGAACAGGAAACUGGGGCGGGCGGGACUGGGGGGUCCCGUGUGUAAGAGGCAUCUUCUGCGAGUCCUGUCCCCGUUGUGAGGAAGAGCAGACAGCAAGUCUUACCUAAAUUACACAGGGAAGUGGGGGGCUCUCUGGGUCGCUGUUUCCCGGAGGUUCAGCUAAGAUUCAUCCUUUUCAGCGCCACUAAUCUGUAUUUUGGACAAAUGCCUAGUGACUGGAGGCAGGUGGAAGCGACCAGACUUUGAGCAACUCUGUUUGGGGGCACUGGAGUGGUGCAGGUGCUGCCCGUUACUCCAAUAUCACUUUGGCAUUUCUUGGUUGGUGUUCGCUGGCCCAUCUCCUCUCACCUGAACUUUCUGACCAGAACUACCCAGGAUGUCCCUGAGACAGCCCUUGGUGCUGGGUAGGUGGCAGCCGCUCCCAAAGGGCACAGGCUACUUCCUGCUGCCUUCUCCCCAUUCCUGUGCCUGGCCAGGGCCAGCGGACUACAGAAAGCACGCAGACCAGGCAAUCUGAGGACACUACCUGGCACUAGCUCCGAGCUGUGGCCUGUGGCCAAGGGAUGCUGCAGUGCUAGUUCCUACUGCCUGGUUACCAGGAGCUGUUUGCCCAUCAAGGGAAGGACAAGGCAGGGAGCAGUUCCCAGAAUCUGGGAGGCAGGUGACAGCAUGAAGCUGGGAGGAGGGACCUGACUCAUGGUGACCGGGUAUAACCCCACACACACUUUCCUCCCACCCUGUGAAUGCUGACAGUGACUGCCGUUGGCCAGCCCACCUGGAAGCCUGGAGGAGGGAGCCGGGGGAGCAGCCUGUGCAGGUGGCCCUCAGGGCACAGAGCAGGUGGGAGAAAGUGAUUGUAACAACGUGUGUUAUCCAAUGAUUAAAAUCUAGUAUGACUGUUUUAAAACAUAAAUAAAGCAAUAACAGAGAGAAACGCUGGACUGUUUGUGACCCAUCCCUUAGCUCAGGAGGGGCUGGAGCUCCUUCCCUCGAGGUGCCUGGGACUGUGCAUCGCCUGUGUGGCCAAGGGAAAGGGCCCCCAGCCCCCCGAGGCGCUGUGUUGCGAUCUGGGGGUGGGCGCAGGACUGAUCGUGACCAGGUACCUUUGGGCCCAAGAAGAGUGUGCUGGGCUGAGCAGAGCGAUUCUGACACCAACUCUGGAGCCUAGUGCGGGCCCACGGAGCGAGGGCACAGCCUCCCACAGGCCUGCCUCCGUUCUAGACCCACCCAGACUUGAAGGGUUCCAGGCCACUGGUGCUUCUGGCCAACUGGAGAAUAGUUUCAGGGGUUCCCACCACCCUUCUGGUUCAAUCAUUUGCUAGAAUGACUCAGAAUUCAGGAAAGCACUGUAGUUUUACCAUAAAAGGUACAAAUCAGGACCAGCCCAAAGAAGGGACCCACAGGGUGAGGUCUGGGCGGCCUCCAAUGCAGAGCCUCAGGUGCCACCCGUCUGGCACAUCCACGUGUGUCUCCAACCAAGAUGCGCCUAUGGAUUUCCCAUGUUUGGAGUUCUCAUUGGGGAUUUAUCACAGGGGCACGAUUGAACUACUGGUCACGUGAUUGACCUCAAUCUCCAACUCCCCUCCCCUCCCUGGAGGUCAAGGGGUCAGCCUCAUAUCACUUGGCUCAAAGUCCCAGCUCUCUGAACCCCUGAUGGUCUUUCUGGCCUCAUGUGCCCUCAUCCUGAAGCUAUUUAGGGGCUGGCAGGACCCACCUCAUUAGCAUAGACUGGUGUGGUCUGAGGGGUUAAAGGCUGCCUCCGAACUAGGGACAAAAACAGGCCAAAUCCCUUGCUAUACUAGUACAACAGCUUCCAGCAGCACCACAGGGGAUGAAGGAAAUUCCCAAAUCACCUCUGAGAGCUGCCAGGAGAGUCACACACCUGUGGGGACAGUGGAGGGUGGUGACAUGCCUGGCCCAUGUCAGGGAAGGCCCAGGUACCCAAAGCUCAAAAAGAAGUCAGGAGGAAACCCAGACAUUCAAGGUGUCUCAGUGGGAGACGGCCUUUGCUGUAAGUCCUCCUUGCAGGAAUGUUAGCUUUGCCAAUGCAACAAAACAAGUAUUUCUAGAGCUGCCAUUGACCGGAGGUCGCACAUUUAUUCUUUAUGACUCCAUAUGUUUGGAUUUCAAAUAGCAUUCUUCUGAGUAAAUGUCACUUCGGGGAUUUAACUUCCUUGUUAUUCUUUAAAGGGACUCUGAUUUAUAGUUCCAGGAAGUGAACUCUUUUAAUUUAUUUAAAUACUCGGGCUGAGAUAAAUCCAUCUAUGUGAGUAAUCUGUUCGAAUAUCGUUGCCACAGCUGACACUGUGUGGGUGACACACUCUCUGUGUAACUGAGGAAAUCAAUUUGGGGAUAGUUUGAUUUCACUUAUAGAAUCAGUGUUAGGAGAGAGGGAAUCGACUUCUGACACCUUCCUUCCCCACAGACUCGCUGUAUUCUUUUGGAGAAUGCGUGAACUGCAUCCUGUCCUCGCGCACCUCUGGCCCCUUGGAGGAGGGUGCCACAUUAACACAAGCCCGAGCUGUUACUCUGUGGCCCUCGGGUUAUUGCAUCACACCUUGAGCGCCGUUGACAAGGAGACAGAAAAUAGAUGAGGACCCAGGGGAAGAAUGGCUAUAAAAGAGGGAGAUAAACCUUCCAGAGCACGGGAUGCUACCCAGAGGAAUUUAUCUUCGUAUGACAAGCAGGAGGCCCAUCUGGGCACACUGGUGAUGUAGGAAAUAAAUCUCUGCAAUAUAUCAAAAAUAUAUUGCCUCAUAGCUGACAAUUUAUUUCUGAAGUUCCAUGUGUGUAAUAUUUCCAGUCUCCUAAAUGGUAAAUAAUAAAUUUUUAUUUAUAAAUCA